rnacentral:tRNA from 1 species
GGCGAGGUAGCUCAGAUGGUUAGAGCGCAGGAUUCAUAACCCUGAGGUCAGGGGUUCAACUCCCCUUUUCGCUA